AGUGAACGCUGGCGGUAGGCCUAACACAUGCAAGUCGAACGGCAGCACAGGAGAGCUUGCUCUCUGGGUGGCGAGUGGCGGACGGGUGAGGAAUACAUCGGAAUCUACUCUGUCGUGGGGGAUAACGUAGGGAAACUUACGCUAAUACCGCAUACGACCUACGGGUGAAAGCAGGGGACCUUCGGGCCUUGCGCGAUUGAAUGAGCCGAUGUCGGAUUAGCUAGUUGGCGGGGUAAAGGCCCACCAAGGCGACGAUCCGUAGCUGGUCCGAGAGGAUGAUAAGCCAAACUGGAACUGAGACACGGUCCAGACUCCUACGGGAGGCAGCAGUGGGGAAUAUUGGACAAUGGGCGCAAGCCUGAUCCAGCCAUACCGCGUGGGUGAAGAAGGCCUUCGGGUUGUAAAGCCCUUUUGUUGGGAAAGAAAUCCAGCUGGCUAAUACCCGGUUGGGAUGACGGUACCCAAAGAAUAAGCACCGGCUAACUUCGUGCCAGCCGCCGCGGUAA
rnacentral:rRNA from 1 species